rnacentral:rRNA from 1 species
CCUACGGGGGGCAGCAGUAGGGAAUAUUGGUCAAUGGGUGAGAGCCUGAACCAGCCAUGCCGCGUGCAGGAAGACGGCCUUCUGGGUUGUAAACUGCUUUUUCCAGGGGAUAAAAUACCCGUGCGCGGGGAAUUGAAGGUACCUGGUGAAUAAGCCACGGCUAACUACGUGCCAGCAGCCGCGGUAAUACGUAGGUGGCAAGCGUUGUCCGGAUUUAUUGGGUUUAAAGGGUGCGUAGGCGGCUUUGUAAGUCAGUGGUGAAAGACGGCAGCUCAACUGUCGAGGUGCCAUUGAUACUGCAGGGCUAGAGUACUGAUGAGGUAGGCGGAAUGGACGGUGUAGCGGUGAAAUGCUUAGAUAUCGUCCAGAACACCGAUAGCGAAGGCAGCUUACUAAGGAGUAACUGACGCUGAGGCACGAAAGUGUGGGGAUCAAACAGG